rnacentral:lncRNA from 1 species
UCACGGCCUCCCUGCUGUGCAGCUGGAGGAGGUCGGACCGCUAAGUCCAAUCCGGAAGUCGUAGGGAAGUGGGGAGGUCAGGACGGUGGCGCCCGCGGCUGGGGGUCCUCCUUGGGGCGGUGUGCGCGCGGCUUUCUCUUCCACCGUCCUGGACCUGCUCUGACUCCCGGCCCGAGGCUCCCCGCGUGGCCUCGCGUCUGGUCGCCGGCCCCUUGCAGCCAGCUCCGCCCAGCAUGGACCCGGAUCCGGGGCGCCUUAGUGGCGAUCUGCCAGGAGGGCCGUAAGAACACUGGGGGGAUGAUUGUUACUGGACAAACCGCCUAUGGCGGGACCUGAAGCCUCCCCGCCACCUCGGGAACGGAUAGGAGCAGAGGCUGGCGCCGCCGGUGCAGUGGGCAUCACAGCAGCCAAAGAAUUUAGAGCAAGUCCACGUGGACAUGCAGGUCUCCACGAGCGUGGAUUUCCUGCGAGGCCGAUCGCGAAGAAGUGCUGGCCCAGAGGCUCGGGUGUCUCCCCCGGCACGCGGCCGGCUGAGAAGGCCGCGGCGCUCGCCAGGAGCGGGGACGUCCUCGGUGUCGCGGGGACCGAAGGAGGCGGCGCAGGCCCGGAGACGUGCGCGCGGGCGGCGAGGGGGCGCUGUGGCCCGUGCCUGUCGGCCGGAGUCCCACCAACGAUGGGCGCGACCCACCUCCUCCCACGGCGGCUUAAUUAGGGAAACUAGAAAAAAAAAAAAAAAAAAAACGCGUCCAGGCAUUUCAAUAAAACCUAACCGGCUCCGGAUCCUUUCUCAUUGUGGUUCCUUAUGAGCUCUGGUGUUUGGGGGGAAAAACAGUUACCAUUCCGGG